AACGUAGGACGCAAGCGUUAUUCGGAUUCACUGGGCGUAAAGGGUGCGCAGGCGGCCGUGUGUGUGAGGCGUGAAAGCCUGGGGCUUAACCCCAGAAUUGCACCUCAAACUACAUGGCUAGAGCAUUGGAGAGGGUAGCAGAAUUCAUGGUGUAGCAGUGAAAUGCGUAGAUAUCAUGAGGAAUACCAGAGGCGAAGGCGGCUACCUGGACAAUUGCUGACGCUCAGGCACGAAAGCGUGGGGAGCAAAAGGG
rnacentral:rRNA from 1 species